rnacentral:rRNA from 1 species
GCAAGNCGAACGGUAACAGGCCGCAAGGUGCUGACGAGUGGCGAACGGGUGAGUAAUGCAUCGGAACGUGCCCGGUCGUGGGGGAUAACACUUCGAAAGAAGUGCUAAUACCGCAUACGAUCUGAGGAUGAAAGCGGGGGACCGUAAGGCCUCGCGCGAUCGGAGCGGCCGAUGUCAGAUUAGGUAGUUGGUGGGGUAAAGGCUCACCAAGCCAACGAUCUGUAGCUGGUCUGAGAGGACGACCAGCCACACUGGGACUGAGACACGGCCCAGACUCCUACGGGAGGCAGCAGUGGGGAAUUUUGGACAAUGGGCGCAAGCCUGAUCCAGCAAUGCCGCGUGCAGGAAGAAGGCCUUCGGGUUGUAAACUGCUUUUGUACGGAACGAAACGGUCCGGGUUAAUACCCUGGGCUAAUGACGGUACCGUAAGAAUAAGCACCGGCUAACUACGUGCCAGCAGCCCGCGGUAAUACGUAGGGUGC